CCUACGGGCGGCUGCAGUGGGGAAUUUUGGACAAUGGGGGCAACCCUGAUCCAGCCAUGCCGCGUGCGGGAAGAAGGCCUUCGGGUUGUAAACCGCUUUCGGCCGGAACGAAAUCUCCGGGGAGAACCUCCCCGGUGGAUGACGGUACCGGAAGAAGAAGCACCGGCUAACUACGUGCCAGCAGCCGCGGUAAUACGUAGGGUGCGUGCGUUAAUCGGAGCUACUGGGCGUAAUGCGCUAAGACGCGGUUGAAAUCCCCGGGCUUAACCUGGGAACUGCGGUUGUGACUGGCGGGCUGGAGUGCGGAAGAGGGAGGUGGAAUUCCACGUGUAGCAGUGAAAGGCGUAGAGAUGUGGAGGAACACCGAUGGCGAAGGCAGCCUCCUGGUCUAGCACUGACGCUCAUGCACGAAAGCGUGGGGAGCAAACAGGAUUAGAUACCCGGGUAGUC
rnacentral:rRNA from 1 species